GCAUUGGCUUUGGUAGCACAUAUACUAAAAUUGGAACGAUACAGAGAAGAUUAGCAUGGCCCCUGUGCAAGGAUGACAUGCAAAUUUGUGAAGUGUUUCAUAUUUUU
rnacentral:snRNA from 1 species